rnacentral:rRNA from 1 species
GCGGUGGAUGCAUGGGCGCAGCCUGAUGCAGCAACGCCGCGUGAGGGAUGACGGCCUUCGGGUUGUAAACCUCUUUUAGCAGGGAAGAAGCGAAAGUGACGGUACCUGCAGAAAAAGCGCCGGCUAACUACGUGCCAGCAGCCGCGGUAAUACGUAGGGCGCAAGCGUUAUCCGGAAUUAUUGGGCGUAAAGAGCUCGUAGGCGGUUUGUCGCGUCUGCUGUGAAAUCCGGAGGCUCAACCUCCGGCCUGCAGUGGGUACGGGCAGACUAGAGUGCGGUAGGGGAGAUUGGAAUUCCUGGUGUAGCGGUGGAAUGCGCAGAUAUCAGGAGGAACACCGAUGGCGAAGGCAGAUCUCUGGGCCGUAACUGACGCUGAGGAGCGAAAGGGUGGGGAGCAAACAGGCUUAGAUACCCUGGUAGUCCACCCCGUAAACGUUGGGAACUAGUUGUGGGGUCCAUUCCACGGAUUCCGUGACGCAGCUAACGCAUUAAGUUCCCCGCCUGGGGAGUACGGCCGCAAGGCUAAAACUCAAAGGAAUUGACGGGGACCCGCACAAGCGGCGGAGCAUGCGGAUUAAUUCGAUGCAACGCGAAGAACCUUACCAAGGCUUGACAUAUACGAGAACGGGCCAGAAAUGGUCAACUCUUUGGACACUCGUAAACAGGUGGUGCAUGGUUGUCGUCAGCUCGUGUCGUGAGAUGUUGGGUUAAGUCCCGCAACGAGCGCAACCCUCGUUCUAUGUUGCCAGCACGUAAUGGUGGGAACUCAUGGGAUACUGCCGGGGUCAACUCGGAGGAAGGUGGGGAUGACGUCAAAUCAUCAUGCCCCUUAUGUCUUGGGCUUCACGCAUGCUACAAUGGCCCGGUACAAAGGGCUGCAAUACCGCGAGGUGGAGCGAAUCCCAAAAAGCCGGUCCCAGUUCGGAUUGAGGUCUGCAACUCGACCUCAUGAAGUCGGAGUCGCUAGUAAUCGCAGAUCAGCAACGCUGCGGUGAAUACGUUCCCGGGUCUGUACACACCGCCCGUCAAGUCAUGAAAGUCGGUACACUGAGCGGUGGCUACCCUUGUGGAGGGAGCCGUCGACGGUGGAUCGGUAUUAGACUAGUGCACAAGGAGAGAUCACACA